CCCUUAGAUGUUCUGGGCCGCACGCGCGCUACACUGAUGCAUUCAACGAGUUUCUUCCUGGUCCGAGAGGAAUGGGUAACCUUUUGAAAGUGCAUCGUGAUAGGGAUAGACUAUUGCAAUUAUUGGUCUUCAACGAGGAAUUCCUAGUAGACGUAGUUCAUCAGACUGCAUCGAUUACGUCCCUGCCCUUUGUACACACCGCCCGUCGCUCCUACCGAUUGAAUGCUCAGGUGAGCCAUUCGGACUUUCAUCAUGCUGGUUUCCAGGUUUGAUGAAGGAAAGUCUUGCGAACCUUAUCAUUUAGAGGAAGGAGAAGUCGUAACA
rnacentral:rRNA from 1 species